rnacentral:rRNA from 1 species
AUUGAACGCUGGCGGCAGGCCUAACACAUGCAAGUCGAGCGGAUGAAGGGAGCUUGCUCCUGGAUUCAGCGGCGGACGGGUGAGUAAUUCCUAGGAAUCUGCCUGGUAGUGGGGGAUAACGUCCGGAAACGGGCGCUAAUACCGCAUACGUCCUGAGGGAGAAAGUGGGGGAUCUUCGGACCUCACGCUAUCAGAUGAGCCUAGGUCGGAUUAGCUAGUUGGUGGGGUAAAGGCCUACCAAGGCGACGAUCCGUAACUGGUCUGAGAGGAUGAUCAGUCACACUGGAACUGAGACACGGUCCAGACUCCUACGGGAGGCAGCAGUGGGGAAUAUUGGACAAUGGGCGAAAGCCUGAUCCAGCAAUGCCGCGUGUGUGAAGAAGGUCUUCGGAUUGUAAAGCACUUUAAGUUGGGAGGAAGGGCAGUAAGUUAAUCCCUUGCUGUUUUGACGUUACCAACAGAAUAAGCACCGGCUAACUUCGUG